CGACAGAACCAAUCCCUCGCUAGCCCUACCUCGUCUCCCAUCUCCAGUCGCAGCCGCCGCCGCCGCACCCCAAUCCAACCCCGCCGCCGGCGAUCUCCUCGCCCCCCUGCGCCGCCGCCCCCAACCUUCUAUUCCUCUCCCAAGGGAAGGGAAGGGAAGGCAAGGGAAGGGAAGGGAGAGGGAGCACCCAAAUCCACGGCGGCAUCAGCGCGUCGUCGUCGACCUGAUCCGCGUCCGUCCUCGAGGGAGGUCGGCCAUGGAGGUCCGACCCGGCCCGGCAGUAGCCAUGGACGGACGGAGAUGCUCCAAUCCCUACCCUCAAGGACGACGCCUCAACCUUCAAGGACGCGCGCCGGCGACCGCGGAUCUCCGGUGACGGCUAUGGACGACUGCCCCGGAUCUGGACGCACGACCUGCAGCUGCAACAGCAGCUGGACGACCGAACGCACGAGCCCUCCCUCCCUCCCUCAUGGCUCUGCUUCCUCCCCUCCGUCACCGCCGAGGACCAGCUCGCCGCUCUCGCCGCCGUCGCCCGCGCCUGCGCCGGGCUCGUGGCCGCGCGGACCGCGCCCCUCUGCGCCGUGCUCCAGGACCGCUUGAGAAACCGCCGCCGAUCUCGUCGCUACGAUCCGCUUGAGGAGCCGCCGCCGAUCUCGUCGCUACGAUCCGCUUGAGGAGCCGCCGCCGAUCCCCAUCCAGGAGCUGCCACAUCUGCAAGAUCAGUAUCCUGAAAUUCACAAAUCAGCAAUAGCAAGAUCAGCUACACAGGAUCAAUUGACAAAUCAGCAGAUCUAGGUGAGCUACUCCAUUUUGACUAUGGUUGUAACAGUGUCAACAGUAUGAGUAAUUUGACAUCUGUGAUUUACUCCAUCUGCUACUGUACUUUAGUUUAGUUUACUUAUUAAUCAAAAAUCUUAAAGGAGUACUCCAAUUCAUCGUUAAAACAGUUUAUGCAAGCACUAAAGGAACAGUUUCAGUUAAUUCUAAUUAACUAGGAAAGUUUCAGCUAAUUUAAAAAGGAAAAGUUUUAGUUAAUUUUAAUUAAAAGAAGAGAAGAGAAGAGAAUAGCAGAGCAAGCAAUGCUACUGCUCCAAGCUAAUCUGACUGCAGAUCAGAAACUACUGCAAGCAGCUCCAUGAAAAGGAGUAUUUUGGCACUCAACUGCAGAAUACACAAAUCUCUACAGCAAGCUACUCCAAGCAGUACACCAACUAAUGUCACUUCAAGCAGUACUACACCAACUAAGGUCACUUAAAGCAGUAGUACACCAAGAUACAAAUACUGAUGUUACUUAAAGCAGUAAUCUCUUCAGUUAACUAUAGCUACAAAUACUGCAAGCUACUGCCAAUGACCAAGUACUAACACCAAGCUACACCAAGUACUGUAUGAGUACCAUUGAACUACUCCAAUAAGAACUACUAGAUCAUUGAACUACUCCACGGUGCAGUAAUAUAAAUUCAGUUAAGUGCUUUAAAUUUCGUCAAAUUUGAUUAAUGGAAAAGAUUCACCUAGCAAGGUUUAUUUGACAUGGAGUAGUUUAUUUGAUAGGAGUAAACACUAGCAAUAUUUGACAGUAAAAGCAAUAUUGAAUGGAGUAAACAUUAGCACUAAUUGAAAUGAGUAAACACUAGCAAUAUUGACAUGGAGUAGUUUAUUUGACACUAGCAUUACUGCUGAUAAUAGCAACAUUAAUACAUGGAGUAGUUUAUUUGACAGGAGUAAACAAUAGUAACAGGGUGUGUGGUCAAGGGGGUGUGUGUGCUCAGACAAGAAGAGAGCAAGCAAGCAAGCAGUUAACUGAAACUGAAAAAGGGUGUGUGUGCUCAGACAAGGAGGAGAAUUCAGAGAAGAGAAAUUAACUGUAAUUCAAGCAAAAGCAACAGGCAAGCACUGCUGCAAAAUUCAGCACAAUCAGUUGAUUUUUGCUUGCUUUGUCUGCACUUCAAAAUUCAGCACAAUCAGUAGGCAGUACUGCAUAAUUUUAAAAGGAUUUGAAUCCGUCUGUACUUCACCUAAAAUUCACCUAAGAGCUACUGCAAGCAGGUCUACUUGCUUUUGGGGUGUUCUUGCACAAACUGUUUGUCUGCAAUGCCACAUAAGCAUGUGUGCUAAACCUGUCUGUCUAAAGCAAGCAAACACCAAACAAUUUGUCAGCUAAAUCUGUCUGCUCCAAUCUGUUUGUUGAAGUCUACUUGCACAAAUCCGUCUGCUGCUGCUUGCUCCAAGAACAAGAAGAGAAGAGAAGAGCAGUAAUCUUGCACAAAUCUGUCUGCUACUGCUUGCACAAAUCUCUACAAGGUCUACUGCUCCAAGCAAGCAAGCAGCGCAAGAGAAGAUCUGAAGAUGACAGGAGAAGGGGAAAAGGAGACCUUUUUAAUCCGGCGAGCUCCUUGCUGAGCUCCUCCACCCGCAUCUUUGCCUUGAGCGCGUAGCCAUCCGCGGACACGGGGUCUCCGCGUUUCCACCCUGGCGGCACCCAGUACGGGUCGACGCGGAUCUCCCGGCGCAGGGCCGCGAGCUCGUCCGGCUCGAGCCAGUACUCCAUGGCGCCGUCGGCGUUGUGGCAGCGGCAGAUGCGCUCGGCCUCCUCCAUGGCGCCAUCGGUGUGCUUGAGGAUGUGGUCCAGCCACACCACCGCGACGGCCUCCUCCCUAUCUCCCGCAUCCACCGCCUCCGUCGCCAGAUCCAGAGCAGGCGCAUCAAAGCUUGACCUCGGAUGUGGGGUGCGAGUGGACGACGGGUGUGAGUGGAGGCGGGAGAAAGACAGCGGUGACGGGGAGAGCUGGUGGCCGCCUGGCCGGCGAGGUGGGCGAGGUGGUGGCCGGCGAGGUGGCAGUACAGAGGCGAUGGGGAGAAGAGAGGCGACGACUGAGUGGCGAACAGAGGCGAGCGAGUGGCGAACAGAGGCGGCGCGUGGGUAAAAAUGGAAAGUUCAGAAAAUUCGUAACGUAACAGAACUUGUACAGGAUUUCUCCAGCGACAAGUAUUCCGGAACAGAGGGAGUAGUUUAUACACAGUUCAUACAACAUUGCAUGUUCACACAGCCAACAGUGUGCUAUCCAUUGAUGUGUUAUCCAUUAACGCCUCUCUGUCAGACCUCAUGUGUCGCCCCCCUCCAUUCAUCCAUGCAUGAGUAUCAGUUUCAUGGGUUAAUUUAUCACUGCAUAUUAUUAAUUGUGCUUCUGUUUUUGCCUCUUGCCAGCAAGCACGACAAUAACAAGUUUAGAGCCAUCAGUUUCUCAGUACCCUGUUGGUUUCAGUGUUAAAUGGCCACAAGUUUAUUGAUCUAAAUAUGUAAAUCUUUCUUGUUUUGUUUUCAUUUUCAUGCGCUACUCUAUUAGGAAUAACAACUAAAAAACAUUGAAAGUUGGAUUUGAUUUCCUUCCCAACACAAGCAACAAAUAUAAUAAAUGUCUCGCAUCCUUAACUCCGGCAAAAUAUUAAUUGACUGACACAAUGGAUCUGUCUAUUAAUCAAGAGUGUAUUACUAAAACUACAGAUUGAUUGUUUUUUAGUUAUGCAGCAUAUAGUAUUCUCCCCAGUUCUGCUAGAUUGGAUUGUUAGUUCAUGUACUUUGGUAAAUCAUUUUGGAAAUUUUGAUUAGGAAACUAAUUUGUGUUCAUGUUGGUUUAUCUAUGCUCCUUUGUCAUUGAUGCGCCUACUGUACUGUAAUUAUUUAGUUCCUCCGCUUAUAGGAUGAUCUCAGGUUUAGUAGUGAUAUAAAAAAUACAUUUCUGCGUUUUCCCUCUGCAGCUGUGUUGCUACGUCACUUUCUGUUCCUUAUGGUCUGCCACUAUUUGACGUCCUUUUUGUGCUCAAACAUUUCUCGUUGUUCCUUGCAUGAUCCAAAUGAGCUUGGUUACGUACAAAAUUAUUGUGGAGGGUCUCAGGUAAUCGUUGCUGUUGAAGAUUACGCCCUGGUCAUGAUUUUCAUUUUCAAACUUGCCAUUCAUCAGAGGUUUUGGAUGGAGUGCACUCAUGCAUUAUAUUGGAGUAGGAACCUGGCGAGGAGGAGGAUACCAUGGGGAGGCGAACCUGGUAAAAUAGGGGUGAAAGUAGAAUAUAGACUGUAGGUUCGUGUUUUCCUUAUCGAGGACACUGUGAAGGCUUCUAAUGCAGUUUUACAAGAAGCAUCUAUGGAGCUAAUUCAGAGGUUAGGUAGUGCUUGUCAUGUUUUUUCAUUUUUAACCACUGUUCAAGAUAUCUUCCGAUAUUUCUGAUAAAUCGGCCGAUUUAUCGCUUACCGUUGUCUGACCGAUAAGAUAAAUCGGUCGAUAAAUCAACUGAUAUGUCGAUAAAUCGCCCGAUAUGCCGAUAAACUGGUUGAUUUACCCCUUAUCAUGGGUCAAGGGUCGACCGAUAAGUUCCCGAUAACGAUAUCCCCAACAUUGUUUUUAACUAUGGUGUCUAGGAUGAAAUGACCCUUAGUUGUGAUUCCA